CUCUCUCCCCCCUUCUCUGUAAACAGCAGCGAUCAACAAUCCUUUAACCAUUUCCGUGCCUUUCGUGACAAAUUGGAUUACUGAUAUAAUCCAAUUGUAGUGUUAUAUGUGUUUCUAUAUAUGUAAAUCUAUAUAUAUAUGUGGGUGUGUGUGUGUGUGAUUGAUUGUUUGCGUGUAUACAGACUCACAGACACACUACAAGACUGAUGGUGGUUGAUUUAUCGUGCCAUUUGAGUGUUGAAGUUUCUUAUCACAUCCGCUCAUUUUCCAUGAAAUCUUUUCUGGCAACCUCUCCUAAUAUUUCUGAGAAAUUAAUGGUUAUGUGAAGGCUUGGGAUGAAAAGAAGGUCGAGUUGGGAACUCCAUCACAAAAAUGUUUCCUUCCCUUUCUCAUCGGCAUGCCAAACUGGUAAAUUUUGAUUCGACUUAUUCCCCAUUAAAUAUUUAAUCUUAUUUAUAUUGUAUCUUUUUUGGAGGCUCGAGAAGGGAUUCAUCAGCUCCAAAUAUUCAAAUUUGGGCCAGCAGUUAGCAAAUUGUUUAUAGCCUUCUCACCAUGGCUUUAGUUUGGUGAGGUGGAUAUUGAGGGUUCAUUGGUUGCUAGUAUUAUUUUAAACAAGAUAGAUUUGGUGACUGAGGCUGACUUGGAGGUGUUCACAAAGCGAAUUCAGCUUUUGGAUUUUUGGUGCACUUUUGUCAGCAUAUCAAUGGGAUGACACAGUUAAAGCUGGCUAAAUAUGGCGUUGUCGACAUGGACUUUGUUUUGGGAGUGGGCGGCUAUGAUCUAGAUAGAAUUGAUUUAGAGGUUCAGUUGGAUAGUUCUCAUUGUGAAUCCCAUCAGUGUUGUUAAAGGCGCGCCUAGGCUCGAGGCUCAGGUUUAGCGCUUGUUGCCACCCCAGGCUCACUGAUGUUGGAAAUGAGAAGGACCGGAUCGAGGUGAAGAUGAGAAACGGUGUACAGAAGAUGGUCAUUUCCAAAUGGAAAGGCAUCACCACCAUCAAAAUCAACAACUGAGCUUCCAUCGCUGUCCUUCCGAGCUCAUCUAUGUUCAUCCUGUUUGCUUAAUUCUUUUUUAGGGUUUGUUCAUUGAUCGAUUGAUCUCUUUUGAUUUCACUAUGUUCUGGUUUUUGAAGCUUUGAAAAAUGUUGAUGCUCUAUGUAGUUGAUGGAUCUUUUGUUUGAGGGUUCCCAAAUCCCAACUGAAAAAUGUUGAUGCUUUGUGUGUGCACCACAAA